rnacentral:rRNA from 1 species
GUUGAAUUUCUGCUGCAUCGUCGCAUCUCUUGCUGAGUGCUUCGUUUCGGCUUAUUUCGGAUUGAUUUUUUCUUUCCGGAUGAUUACUUUGAGAAAAUUAGAGUGCUCAAAGCAGGCUUUUGCCUUGAAUAGUUUAGCAUGGAAUAAUAAAGUAGGACUUUGGUUCUAUUUUGUUGGUUUUAGGUACCAAAGUAAUGGUUAAUAGGAACAGUUGGGGGCAUUCGUAUUUAACUGUCAGAGGUGAAAUUCUUAGAUUUGUUAAAGACGAACUACUGCGAAAGCAUUUGCCAAGGAUGUUUUCAUUAAUCAAGAACGAAAGUUAGGGG